CUCCUUAGACGGCAUAGCUCUUUUCAUUGCCUAUUGGUAUUCUAGAUGCAGCAAGUUCAUAUAGCUAACGACUUAUUUUUUGCUAAUUCACCCCUAAACUUGUAAUGUGGCUACGAAAUGCAUUUUGCAUCUGGUUUGUUCGAAAUUCCGUAUGACAGCAGGAGCAAUGCGUAGCCAAGUAUUAGUGAUGAAAAAGGCCAGGGUCUCGUACACUGAGCAAAUAAAUUCCUCGUACAAUAGCAGGUUUGCGUAUUCACAUGUUUACAUUCUAAAAGUCGAAUAAUAGACGAACAAAAUAUGUCUGAAGCACUGUUAUAAUCACACAACGAAAGAAAAAGAGAUGUCGGGUAAUUUCUGGUUCACCGGCUGAAUCAAUAAUUCGUUAACUUUCUUUAACAAAUGUGUAUUCGACAUGAAUUUUUCUAAAAAUCAAAAAAAUGAACUAACUACCACUUCCUGCUAAAUUUUUAAUAAAAGGAUGGUGAGUUGUAACGAAAACCACAAUAUACUAUAAACCACUGCUGUAUAUGUUUUGUUGGCACUAAAGCAAACGAUGGUUUCUUUUUGCCUUGGUAGAUCAGGAGUUGUAAUCUAGAAAAUUACGAAUAAAAAUAUUCGUUGAAAAAAAAUUCCUAGGAUGUUAUGACUUUAUUCUUCGAUAGAGUCGCAAAUGUCUAUACUACAAUGAAUGCGACCUGCAGUAGAAAGGGAAUAACGAAUUGGGGAGCAGCUAGCUAUUUAGGAGAAAUGAUUAUGAGAAGUAAGCUUAUAUUGAGUACAAUUUGUUUAUUAAGAGCUUAAAUGAUUAAAAUGACAAUUUCCCAUUCAUACAGUUCUGUAGUCAUGAUACUGUGCACACAUGAACAGUUUUCUUUACUUAGUAGUGGAGUAUUGAUAAAGCAAUGCCAACUGAAUACCCAAUUUCCAUGAAUAAAGUUUUCCUUAAAAACA